GAUGAACGCUGGCGGCGUGCCUAAUACAUGCAAGUCGAGCGAACAGACGAGGAGCUUGCUCCUCUGACGUUAGCGGCGGACGGGUGAGUAACACGUGGAUAACCUACCUAUAAGACUGGGAUAACUUCGGGAAACCGGAGCUAAUACCGGAUAAUAUAUUGAACCGCAUGGUUCAAUAGUGAAAGACGGUUUUGCUGUCACUUAUAGAUGGAUCCGCGCCGCAUUAGCUAGUUGGUAAGGUAACGGCUUACCAAGGCGACGAUGCGUAGCCGACCUGAGAGGGGGCUCAGCCGGACUGGGACACAGACCCGGACCAGACGGGAACGGGAGGCAGCAGAACGGAAGCAAUGGCAAUGAGCGAGAGCCUGAAAGAGCGAGUGAGUGAGGAUGAUCUACGGGUUCGGAAGCUAUGUUACUGGUGAUGGAAGGCAAUAAUGGGGUAAGUAACAAUGCUCGUCGGGACGGUACUAGAUCAGCAAGGCACGGUUAGUU
rnacentral:rRNA from 1 species